AGCAGCCGUGGUAAUUCCAGCUCCAAUAGCGUAUAUUAAAGUUGUUGCAGUUAAAAAGCUCGUAGUUGAAUUUCGGGAUCAGUACGCUGGUCGUGCCUUUGGUAUGCACUGGUGUCACUGGUUCCUCCCUUCUGAAGAACUGUCAUGCCAUUAAUUUGGUGUGGCGGGGAAUCAGGACUGUUACUUUGAAAAAAUUAGAGUGUUUAAAGCAGGCUCGCGCUUGAAUACAUUAGCAUGGAAUAAUGGAAUAGGACGUUUGAUCCUAUUUUGUUGGUUUCUAGGAUCGACGUAAUGAUUAAUAGGGAUAGUUGGGGGCAUUAGUAUUCAGUUGUCAGAGGUGAAAUUCUUGGAUUUAUUGAAGACUAACUACUGCGAAAGCAUUUGCCAAGGAUGUUUUCAUUAAUCAAGAACGAAAGUUAGGGGAUCGAAGACGAUCAGAUACCGUCGUAGUCUUUAACCAUAAACUAUGCCGACUAGGGAUCGGAUGAUGUUAAUUUUUUAAUGACUCA
rnacentral:rRNA from 1 species